CCUGCCCCACCACAACUAAGAGCAGGGGCAGCCCUGUCUGUUUUCCUGGCAGCGUGGGGGAGGGGAGGCACCGAGGCCUGUCGUCGGUUGAAUAACAGAGGGCACGAACUGCCAGCGCUGGCUGCCCGGAGGAGACCCUGGCAGGGAUGAGGCCAGCCUCGUAUUCAGACCCUGGUGGGGUGUGGCCACCCCUGGGAGCCUUGGGCAGCCCAGACAGAUCUGCAGUCACAGCCCCACCCCCGGCACACACGUUCAAAUUCACACUGAUGGCAUUCACACGAGGGGUGGCAUUGUGCCCCCUCGUCCGGGACAGCUGGGUGCUCCCUCCCCCCAGGCCACAAUGACUCACAUCCCUGCCCGCCAGGCGGCCGGCUUGGGCACACACAGCCUCCUUUCAGCCCCUCGGCCUCCAACACACUAGCUUAGUCUUCCCUGCCCGGCGCCUCCCCCUCCCCAGUGAGCAGCCUGCCCGCCCAGACGGGCAGCUCAGUGCCACGGAGAGGCCAGGCCAAGGCCUCCAUCCUCCCCGCAGCACACGGCUCCCUGUCUCUCGUCACCCGGCUCCUGGCCAAGCCCUGAAUGGCUGCCUUUUCACGCCCCCCCAGCCUGGCCAGAUGCAUCCUGAGCAGCCCUGCUCCCACCGCUGCGUGGGGAUCGGCCCCACCGCUGCGUGGGGAUCGGCCCCACUGCUGCCACCACGGAGGAGCCAGAAGGACCGUUGAGAUUCUGGCCGAGCCCCUGAGCCCCUGAGUCCCCGGAGUCCCUCCGGGCUCUUGGGUAAAGGCCUCCUCAUGUCGGCAAAGGCCCUUCGUCACAUGCAUGCUCCCCAUCGGCUUCCUCAGCAGCCCUAAGUAGCCUGGCCGGGCCCAGAUGUUUAUCAGUCCCAUUUUACUGAAGGACCAACUGAGGCCCCGAGAAGAGUCAGCUGCUGAUCCCGUCCAUUCCCAGGCUUCAACGGACACCUUCAAGAGAGGACUCUGUGUAGGUCUCUCGAGGCCUGACUUUCUCCAAAUUCCGCAACCUCCUUCUGGAACACCGCCCAUUGCUUCACUCGGGCGCUGGUGCCCUGCCCUGCCUCUCUGCAAAGGCCAGGAAUCCUUCCCGGAAGAUGGACAGCAACUUGCAGGCCAGGGCCGCUCUAUCUCCUGCCUCGGCACCUGCUCUGUGUGGCCGCAGGGGCCUUGAACUGACUGCAGCCCUCGGGCGAGCACACGGCCUCGAGAAGAGCGCAGGCUCCGAGACUCUGGCCUUGGUCGUGUGACCUGCUUGGGACAGUAGGAGAGCAGCACACAUGGUGCACGUAGAAACCUGAACAGCACUUGGGCUGGAUCUCUCUCACUGCCCCUCAACCACCGCGUGAAGGAGCUCAAGCUGGCUUGACAGACGGUGAACCUGGGACCCAGCCCACAGCCAAGAGCUGGACGUGAGUGUCCGACCUUGACCUUGACCUCUCUCUGACCACAGACAUACCUGUGUCCAGCCAAGCCCAAGAGAACAGCCCCUCUGAGCCCAGCCCCCAUCACCAGUCCACAUAAUUGUGAAGCUAAUAAAUUGUUGUUUUAAG